rnacentral:tRNA from 1 species
CGGGGUGUGGCGCAGUCUGGUAGCGCGCCUGGUUUGGGACCAGGAGGUCGCGGGUUCGAAUCCCGCCGCCCCGA